rnacentral:rRNA from 1 species
GAAUUCAACUCCUACGGGAGGCAGCAGUGGGGAAUAUUGCACAAUGGGCGCAAGCCUGAUGCAGCGACGCCGCGUGGGGGAUGAAGGCCUUCGGGUUGUAAACUCCUUUCGCUAGGGACGAAGCGUAAGUGACGGUACCUGGAGAAGAAGCACCGGCUAACUACGUGCCAGCAGCCGCGGUAAUACGUAGGGUGCGAGCGUUGUCCGGAAUUACUGGGCGUAAAGAGCUCGUAGGUGGUUUGUCGCGUCGUUUGUGUAAGUCCACAGCUUAACUGUGGGACUGCAGGCGAUACGGGCAUAACUUGAGUGCUGUAGGGGAGACUGGAAUUCCUGGUGUAGCGGUGGAAUGCGCAGAUAUCAGGAGGAACACCGAUGGCGAAGGCAGGUCUCUGGGCAGUAACUGACGCUGAGGAGCGAAAGCAUGGGGAGCGAACAGGAUUAGAAACCCUAGUAGUCCAGGCGUU